GAGAGUUUGAUCCUGGCUCAGGACGAACGCUGGCGGCGUGCCUAAUACAUGCAAGUAGAACGCUGAAGAGAGGAGCUUGCUCUUCUUGGAUGAGUUGCGAACGGGUGAGUAACGCGUAGGUAACCUGCCUUGUAGCGGGGGAUAACUAUUGGAAACGAUAGCUAAUACCGCAUAACAAUGGAUGACACAUGCCAUUUAUUUGAAAGGGGCAAUUGCUCCACUACAAGAUGGACCUGCGUUGUAUUAGCUAGUAGGUGAGGUAAUGGCUCACCUAGGCGACGAUACAUAGCCGACCUGAGAGGGUGAUCGGCCACACUGGGACUGAGACACGGCCCAGACUCCUACGGGAGGCAGCAGUAGGGAAUCUUCGGCAAUGGGGGCAACCCUGACCGAGCAACGCCGCGUGAGUGAAGAAGGUUUUCGGAUCGUAAAGCUCUGUUGUAAGUCAAGAACGGGUGUGAGAGUGGAAAGUUCACACUGUGACGGUAGCUUACCAGAAAGGGACGGCUAACUACGUGCCAGCAGCCGCGGUAAUACGUAGGUCCCGAGCGUUGUCCGGAUUUAUUGGGCGUAAAGCGAGCGCAGGCGGUUUGAUAAGUCUGAAGUUAAAGGCUGUGGCUCAACCAUAGUUCGCUUUGGAAACUGUCAAACUUGAGUGCAGAAGGGGAGAGUGGAAUUCCAUGUGUAGCAGUGAAAUGCGUAGAUAUAUGGAGGAACACCGGUGGCGAAAGCGGCUCUCUGGUCUGUAACUGACGCUGAGGCUCGAAAGCGUGGGGAGCGAACAGGAUUAGAUACCCUGGUAGUCCACGCCGUAAACGAUGAGUGCUAGGUGUUGGAUCCUUUCCGGGAUUCAGUGCCGAAGCUAACGCAUUAAGCACUCCGCCUGGGGAGUACGACCGCAAGGUUGAAACUCA
rnacentral:rRNA from 1 species